GAUGAAGAACGCAGCGAAAUGCGAUAAGUAAUGUGAAUUGCAGAAUUCAGUGAAUCAUCGAAUCUUUGAACGCACCUUGCGCCUUUUGGUAUUCCGAAAGGCACACCUGUUUGAGCGUCAUGAAUACCUCAAUCUCCAUCUUUUCUUCGGAUUGAUGGGUGACUUGGAUGUUGAGCCCUGCUGGUAUGCUAUAUCAGCUGGCUUUAAACUUAUUAGCCGGCUCUGUACUGGAUCGGUUUGACUCGACGUGAUAAUAUUAUCGUUGAGGAUGCAUGUCUCAUGCAGCCGGAAAGUAUCAAAGCAGCUUAUAGCUUGCCUUUAGUGCACUUUUACAUUUUAGACCUCAGAUCAGGUGGGACUACCCGCUGAACUUAAGCAUAUCAAUAAGCGGAGGA
rnacentral:misc_RNA from 1 species